AGUAGCGGCGGGAGCAGCAGCGUUAGGCCGGGGUGUGGCUGCACCUCUGCGAAGGCUGUCGUGCCCCGUGCAGCUGCGGCGUUCGGGUGGGGGAGGGGAGGCUCACACCCUGCGGCGGCUUAAGCCUGGAUUUACGCACUGGAGGAGGGAAUUAGCCCUGAGAUGUCAGCCCUGUGCCCCUGGCGCUGUCCACCCGGACGCCCGCGGAGCGCCAGGCGCCGCAGCGGACCGCGCGCGCACUGAUUGCCGCAGCUACUCUCCCUGCCGUCGCCGCCCGGGACCGGGUGACAUUGAGGUUUUCGUCUAUCGCCGCUGGGCCGAUAGGGCUUCUUUUUAAGAUUUGGCUUUCCAAGUAAGAUUUUUGUUUGCCUGCUUUUCUCCUGGAAUUUUUUUGUUUUUGGUCGAAGAAGCAGGUAACUUGCAUAUCUUAAGGAAAACAUUGUUUUUGCUUUGCUUUUGUUGUUUAAAGAUCCUAAAACGUACCGUGAUUCCUUUACGUUACUAAUAAUUGGAAAGUGUGUUAAAUCAAGGGUUCGCUUAAUGUUCUUUAGCCUUUGUACAUAGAAUAUAUAAAUGUCGUGAGUCAUCUUUA
rnacentral:lncRNA from 10 species